rnacentral:rRNA from 1 species
GCGGGAAAUCUUACCGGGUCCGGACACACUGAGGAUUGACAGGCAAUAUCUCAUGUUAACGGUAAGUUUACUUACCGCUUAACAUCGAGUGUUAAAUAUGCUAGUCCUUUCAUGAUUAUGUGAUAGGUGGUGCAUGGCCGUUCUUAGUUCGUGGAGUGAUCUGUCUGCUUAAUUGCGUUUCACUAAGGGCCCAUAAAUUCAAGGUAUGUUAGCUCUCGUCGCUCUAUGGACCCCUUAACUCCAAUAUUCUUAUUGUGUUAAGCGCGUGUCUUUAUUUUAAGAGUUUUAAGACACUGCGCAUGCUGUUGGGCUCUGAAAGCAACGAACGUGACCGCAACGUCUUGUUGCCUUAAACUAGCGUAUAUUGCAAUUUAUUGUAAUAUCGCUUACAGAGGCUAUUUAAAACUAGACGGACCGCUGUUUCUUUCUUAAACCAGAGGA